CCUCACGGUAGCUUAGAAAACUUGGAAAUGGUCUUGCGGAUCAAGCAGCUGGACUGUCUAAUUUUACAGAAGACCCGGAAGCCCAAAGAGGGCCUGCUCCUGCCGGGGGGUCCAGCCUGGCGCUGGUGUCAGAGCCCACUCUAGAGGCCCAGCUCUCGGACUUCUAGGCGGCAGGGCAGAGUCGUUUGUCCCCAGCAGGCUGGCUCUGCAAUGCCCGGCCACUGACACUCCCGGGACCUCCCAACGCCUACUUGAGCUACAGAGACAAAUCCAGGGGCCACUCUGUUCUUGGCCCCUUUUAGGGGAUGUGCCACAGGUCACAGCUGAACGGUGGCUCAAAGAGCUUGGCCACUGCGCUCUGAUACUUCCUCUCCGAAGAUGCCUCCAGACUGGGCGUCUGUGCCCUUCCCUGUGCAGGUGGCCAGAGAGGCAACGCCGGACAGACAGCUGGACACACAGCCUCGCCGCCAGGCCCAGAAUUCCAACAUGGCAUCUUUGGGAAUGGCUGACAGUUCAAGGCACCACAGAAGGGUCCCAGUGGAGAAACGUGGGAAAGCCUAAGAGCAGGAAAUAAAUUACACGCUUGAAAAGACAAGAGAAAUGGUUGAAUACCUCCUCCAGGG
rnacentral:lncRNA from 1 species